UAAUUUGAAUAAGGAUAAUUUUGGUUUUAAGUAAUAAUUUAAGGAUAUUUAUAGAAUUGUAUUAAGGGUAAAAUUAGUUUUCAGAGCUACUCAUUUCCUACUUUUCAAAAUCAACAAUAUGAGGGACUAAUUUUGACAAAAGUAUUUUGAUUUUUUUUACCAAACACUAAAAUUAACUUUUAGAUUUUCAAAAUCACUUUCAAGUCUUCCAAAAGCAAUUCCAAAUGGUCCUUUAAUGGUGCUGACUUACCAACGUAAAGAGGAUGAAGGUGAGUUGCAAGCGUUACGACGAUGGCCCGGUUAGACGGCCACUUUCGAUGGAUUGGCGAUAAUUCAGUCAGGGAUGAGUCCAAUACUUUUUUUAGUCCAACCAAAUUUUAUAUAUUUAUUGUAAAUUUUGUUGUGAAGUGGUCGUUUAGUGGCGAAGCUAAGUGAGGGCUAGGCUAGGCUAUAGUCUCCCUUGCCCUCUCAAAAUGUUUUAGGAAAUUACCAUUCUUAUAUGUUUAAUCUACUCUGUUAUUAAAUAUAUUACAACAUUUUGAAGGUGUAUCAGUCGUCUAUCAUAAAUUAACAAAAGUUAUCUAGUGACCACUAAUCCACUAGUUAAUGUUUGUAAAUGAUAAUGUUAUAAAGGUAAUUUAGUCUUUUAACACAAAGGAAACUCUAACAAAAAAUGACAUUGGUGUCCUAUUUAUAGGACGACGACAUCGUUUUCAUCUUUGUGAAAUAACAUUGUUUCACUGGAACUUGAACUCACUACAUCAAAGUUGAAACAACUCAAAUAAGAACAAAAUGUAAGCCUAAUUGAAACAAGAAACAAAAAACAUGCACAACACACACAUCGUAUCUCAUCUCAGUAUCUCACUGUCUCAUCCUCUUCUUCUCUUCACACACAUACAUAACACAAAAACAAUGUGGUAGCUAGUAGCACACCACCACAGCGACAACACUUAGAUCCGAGACAGCACGAUAAAUACAGAAGCAACCCAUGCCCUGCAGUCAUCGAUACAGCCUGCAGCAUGUAGUUAGAGCCACUCCGAAUUUAUUGUUUCAUGAGCAAAUCUACUCCUUCAAGCUUUAACUUGAAUUUUUGAUGAUAUGCUCCUCCAAGUUCCAACUCGAAUUUUUUAUGGUGUAAUAUGUAUAACUGUUAAUAAUAUGUACUGCUAAUAUUUUUUUAUG
rnacentral:lncRNA from 1 species